GUGGGGAAUAUUGGACAAUGGGGGGAACCCUGAUCCAGCCAUGCCGCGUGUGUGAAGAAGGCCUUUUGGUUGUAAAGCACUUUAAGCGAGGAGGAGGCUACCGAGAUUAAUACUCUUGGAUAGUGGACGUUACUCGCAGAAUAAGCACCGGCUAACUCUGUGCCAGCAGCCGCGGUAAUACAGAGGAUGCAAGCGUUAAUCGGAUUUACUGGGCGUAAAGCGCGCGUAGGUGGCCAAUUAAGUCAAAUGUGAAAUCCCCGAGCUUAACUUGGGAAUUGCAUUCGAUACUGGUUGGCUAGAGUAUGGGAGAGGAUGGUAGAAUUCCAGGUGUAGCGGUGAAAUGCGUAGAGAUCUGGAGGAAUACCGAUGGCGAAGGCAGCCAUCUGGCCUAAUACUGACACUGAGGUGCGAAAGCAUGGGGAGCAAACAGGAUUAGAUACCCGGGUAGUCC
rnacentral:rRNA from 1 species